AUAGACACACAUGUCCUGCAUGACAUCCUACAUGUCAUUUUUUUUCCUACAUGUAUUGUGCCAUGUAAGACUCAUGUGUUUAGUUAUUCAAUUUUAUACAAGUUUAAGUGUCUACUUGUGCAUAUUCAAAGUUAGAGUACAUAACACAUUUAUGUAUUAUGUCGCAUGCUUACUGGUAGCAAAUUUCAAGAAUUUCACUAUAGUAGUGCUAGCAACAUUGACACAACUCCCACUAUCAAUAAUGAACAUAAUCAUCUUUGAUGAGGCACUUGCAGUGGAAAAGAUUCUCCCUUUGACUUGGAUCAUCCAUGGCCUUGCUAAUCAUAACUCGCUCACCACAUACAUUGGUACGCUGAACACUCCUUCUUGAGGCCAAGCUUCUCCAAUUUGGGCCUUCCUAAUCAAACCAUUAGAAGCGGUGACAUCUUUUCUAUCACAUGGGUCUGGUUCCAAAUCUUAAUCACCUUCAAAUUCAUCCUCUUCUUGGGUUUCCUCUUCACAACCCUACCCCUUCACCAAUAUAUAAAUCCCCUCCUUGAACUAGCACAUACAAUCGAUUGAGACAUUCACGCAUCAGACCCCAUCCUCUACACUUGUGAUAUUGAAUGCCUUUAGGAAAUUUGGUUGGGUCCUUAUUACCUUCCUCUCUUGGUGGGUACUUUUGAGUAUUUCCUUCAAAGGGAUUCUUCUCAUAAGGCUUCUAGAAGAGAUCCUUAUUCUGAUUCCAACCCGAAGAUGUUUGUGCUCCUCCUUGGUUCUUACUCCAAGAAUUUGAAUAUGGAAUACCCUUGUACUAAGUACUUUCUCCUCAUUGAGUUCCUGCUCUACCUUAUUGGUCGCUUCAAAGAUGUCAUGCAAGCUAGCAAGCUUGUGAACAGUCAUCUUAGAAGAGUCCCCUUGUUCAACCGUACCUAGAAGCGAAAAACGACAUGCUCUUCAUUGUAGGUGUAUAUCUUCAAGAUCAAAUUUUGGAACUAAUAAUAGUAAGGCGCGACACUUUUUGCUUCCUUGCCUCAAGUUGUACAACUUAGCAAGUUAUUUUUUGCGAUACCUUUCCGGCACACACUUGACUCUCAUAAGGGCUUUCAAUCCGGUCCAUGGGUGAGGGGUCCAUCUUGAAGUACUAGUCAACCUUUCAUGUAUUCCCACCACGUAAUAGCAAACCCUUCAAAUUAAGCAAUGGCAAAACAACUCUUCUUGACCUCGGUCAAAUCAUUGGAAGAUUAUUCCGCAAUGCAACUUCGAUUCUAGAUAAGCAUCGAGAUUGCAUUCCCCUUUGAAAGGUGGAUAUAGUCUUGAUAGAGUCAUUCCAACAUCUCGGCCUCCAUUUCCACAUUGGUCCCCAUAAUAGUUUCCUUGUCCCUCACCCACUUUGUUGUUGUUGUAGUAACCUCUUUCGACUUUUCUUGAUAUUCGUUACCAUGUUCUUCUGUCAAUUCUUGACCAUACUCUUGAUUGGCAUAAGAUUCCCUUUUGUUCUCCACUUUGAGGUUGGUUUCCAUAUUGUCUUAUACCAUGUGGUACCGUGCCAAACCAUCCUUGUCCUCUAUACCCCAUUUGACCUCUUGGAGCUUCAUUCCAUGGCUCUACUUCACCUUCAUCUUCAUAUCUCCCUUUGUUUAGUGGUGCUUGGUAAGGUCGGUUUUGGUUUGGUGGAGCUUCUUGAUUAAGUUUGAACUAGAAUGAUCGAUUGGUUUUUUGGAUAUUGGAAGUGAAACUUAUUGGUAUUGGAUUGAAUGCUUGAUGGAAGGCUCAGAGUGUGAUAAUAGGAGAAAUAGUGUGAUCGUGCCCACUUGUGGAAGCACGAAAAGUAGCUUGUGGGGUGAAAUUAGUAGAGUUAAUUCGACCCUCCACAUUGUUCAUUCUAUCCUCUAUCUUUGACACACUACCCUUCAUGGUGGCCAUUUGUCCUUCUAUGUUCUCAAUCCUCCAACCCAUAUUAGUAAUUGCCUCCAUUAUAGAUUCCAAAGUAAUCCUUCCGUAAGUGGUUGGGUUUCACUUCCGUUUCCACGGUACCUAGCAAUAAGACAACUCAACAAAAAGAAAAAGCAAUGUUAGCGUGAGUAAAUUGAACUCACAAUCACUUGUGUUUAUACACCUUUGAUUGACUAUCAAAUUGACUCGGCUUAGGUUGAAGAUUGCUUAUACUCGGUUGAUCACGAAGUGUCAAUUUCUACUCUUGGCCGGAAAAGAUUCUUGUUUCAAGAAAGACGGAUGACCUGAUUAAAGCAAAACAAAACUGGAUAAAAAGUUUAACUACGACAUAAAACUAAUAAAAGCAUGGAAAGAAGUGGCACCCACAAAGAUGAGAAUUCAAGAACCAAUAAUCAACAAGUAGAUCAAUUACGAUUUGAAAAGUAGUUUAGGAAUCAUGAAAAUGAAUGAUAAUCAAGAAAAGGAAACUAAGGAAUUAGAACCUGAGAUUAGGGGCAUAAAAUGAGUUUUCGAUCUCCAAAUACAUUGUUUUCUUUGCCAAAGUUGAAGUUCAACUCGCCAACUUGAAGUUUAGCUUUCCAAAAUUUACGAAGUGUUGAUGCAAUUUGUUGAUUAGAGGGUCAAUUCGGCGAUUCUCACUUUGGAUUUCAGCGAGCAGAGUCGGGCUCGCCGAAAGUUCCAAUGAGUGCAUCUGAAGACCUUCGAAUUUUGUGCUUUUGUGGUCCAUUUGUACUUUUUCCUUUAUUUCUUACCCCUUUUGGUAAAUUCCCUUUUAUACCAACACUUAUCCACUUUAAAACACCCUUUUUGAAGAUUUCUUCUUCUUGAAGAUUUCAAUUAUCUUCGAGUGAAUGGCUUGGUGCUAUCCGAAUUGCAUCAGUCAAUGUGGUCAUAUACAUGUUAAUUUCCCAUACUAGGAAGUUGGGUAUAAAAACCUAAGGUGACCUUGGGCCUUUAGUUUGUUUGUUUCCUGGAAUGUACGGGGCUGUAGGACUUCACAAAGGUUAGUAUUGUGGAGGUUAUUUAUGCACCUUUAUGUUGUUGAUUAUAUUUAAUUUGUGGUGUUUUGUGUGCCUAAAUUUUGUUGGUUUAAUUUCUUUUGUGGCAUUGCUAUGCAAAUUUUAUUAUUGUCGAGGGGAUUUGUUGUUUUUCGUGUGAUUUAUUAUUAGGAGAAAUGUAUUUAAGGGCCUAAUAGAUCUUGUAGCAUCUUUAUUGUGGCAUUAGCAUGAAACUUGUGCAUAAAAGUGUAAAACAGAAUUAGAAAAGCAUUCAAUAGAGUAUGCAUCUUCUAUGUUCCCACUUUUUAUUAAGUUCCAACUUCUUUCAUUUUUUUCCUGACCUUCAAUUAGGAGGAACAAAGGUAUUUUAGACUGGCUCCUAAGAUUGUCAUAGAUCCAAGUGAUACUUUUUGAUUAUUGCAACUCUGUUUUACUACACAUGAUCCUUUUUCUAAGAAAGUGUUCUUCUGCAGUUUUUUCUCGAACGAAGUAUGCAUUGAAACAGACACGUGGGAAAUUUGGUCUUUGCGUAAAGAUAGUACGUUGAGCAAUUGGUCUUGACCUGAUCAUUUGACGUUCUUCUGAUUCUACAUUUUUGAGUCUAUUGCUAUUUGUAUUAUAUUCCCUGUCUUGUUUCUGUUCUCUGUUAUAGGAGGUGAUUGCGAGGGUGGUGGAUUAUUUCUUUGGGAUAACAGAAUAUUUUUGUACUGUUUGCUUCUUCCAGUGAUCUUUGCGUGUCGUUCUUCUUUCCAUUUUACUUGUUCUCAUCCAGACCUCAAUGGAUUUAAAUUACUUGUACCAUAAUUUAAAAAUUUAUCCUUUUCUCUCAUUUUAACUUUAUUCUAAUGUUAUAAUCACACAUUAGUUUGAUAAUUUUGGAUGUCUUAUAAUUUUAACUUUUUCUAAUGUUAUAAUCACAUAUUAGUUUGAUGAUUAAAGAUGUCAAUGAAGUGAUAUUUCUCUCUUCGCAUUUGAGUGAUAUAUUAUCUGUAACUGAAGCUGUACUAUCUAAGGUGCAGUGUGAGCUGCAAUAUGAGGUAUGUACUGCACCUAAGCAAGGUGCAUGACAUUUAUUCAUAUGGAAACUCUGCCAAGUCUAAAUUCUCAACAGUUGCAUUAUUACUUAUUGGUAGCAUUAAGUCAACCGUUGCUUACACUGACUGUUAAUCAUAUAAAUUGUCAUGCUGUACUUCCAGAAAAAGAUGCUUUCCUCAAUGUGACAACUUAGAUUAUAUCUGAACUAAGAAAAAUAAUGGAGAUGUUCCAGAAGAAAUAGCUUGAUUGAGAAGCAGAACAGAAAAAUGCAGAAACACCAAAGGAUUAGUGGAAAAGAUAAAUGAAUGCAAUCAAAGGGUAAUUCCAAAAAAAAAAAGAGAAACAAAGUUGUAUAUUCUCCAUAGAGCAAUAAAUAAAAUUUUUAGUUUUUAAGAAAAUAUUGCUUUGUUAAUUUAUUUUGAUAAAGUGAAGUUACUGUUCGUGAAGGUCUUGAACUUUUCUCAGGUAAUUCAAACAAGUGGUUUUUUGGGAAAUUUGAACUAAGGCUUAGGGUUUCCUGUAUUCUUCCACCUUGGAGCUCUCCCUUGAAUCUUAUUGUUUAAAUGUUGAUUAAUUUGCAGGUGUGCAAGAUCGAUGCUGAGUUUUCUGAUCGGUUCUUUAGCACUCUUUAAGCAUGUUCUAAGGCUACCAAGUACGUCAACAUUAUAGAAUGUUCCUCACUAUCAUAAACAUAUAAAACGGGAAAACAAAGACCGGUGGCAUGGUGCUGAAAUCCAGAUUUUCUUUCAUUUUUUUUGACUUUCAAUUAGGAUGAACAAAGGUAUUUUAGACUGCCUCCUCUUGUUUAGAUACUAGAAUAUAUUUUCCUAAGAUUGUCAUAGACCAAGUGGAAACUUUUGAUUAUUGUAACUCUAUAUGUAACACAUGAUCCUUUUUCUAAAGAAGUGUUCUUCUGCAGUUUUGUCUUGAACAAAGUAUGAAACAGACACGUGGGAAAUUGUCAUGUUUCUGUUCUCUGUUGCGAUGGUGGUGGAUUAUAUCUUUGGAAUAAAAGAAUAUUUUUGUACUGUUAGAAUACUUCACCCAGUGAUUUUUGCCUGUAAUUCUUCUUUCCAUUUUACUUGUUCUAAUCUAGACUUCAAUGGAUGUCAGCAUGUACAAUAAUUUAAGAAUCUAUCCUUUUGUCUCAAAUUCUACAAGCAUUGAUUUGGUCCAAGAUAAGUACAUGACUUCCCAUUGAGAUACAUCUUCCAUGAACAGUAAAAAUUAUACCUCAUUUUGUAGGAUGGAUAUUGAUAUUUACAAGUAUGAGAUGACUUAGAAAUAGAAAGCUAAAUUUAAGAAUGCAUGGUAACACAGGAUUAUAUUGUUUUUGUUUUCCAAGGUAUAUUACUGUAUUGCGCCUUCUUUUCAGGAAUGUUCCUCACAUUCAUAUACAUGAAAAAUAGGAAAAUGAAGACUGGUGGCAUGGUGCUGAAAUCCAGAUUGUCAUCGAAAGGAACUGGACAAUGUACCGAGUAUGUAGUUCUUGAAUAAUUGUGACAGAAGUUCUCUACGCUCAAGUGAUUUAGGGGAACAGUUUUUAUGUUGGAUUUUGAGGGUAAGAAUUUAUAGAGAAAAAGAAUUGCAAAGCUCUAAAAGACAUAAGAAAAACCUAUUAGAUAGAUAUAUCCUUCUUUGUGGGUGGCGAUGGAUUUGCCAAAUUUCUCAAAACUCUUGCUGUGGUGGUGAUAUCGCUCGUCUCAGCUCGUCGCUGUCCCAGAACGUUGCCUUUCAAAAGGUAAUAUUUGUUUCUAUUUGUGUCUUUGUUUUUCUUAUUUGCUGGCCAUUUGAUUCUACUAGAUGAGGCGUCUAAAUGUUAGAAUGUUGAAUUUGUUUCGACUUACUGUUGAUUGCAAAGCGUUGAUAUAAGAUCCUUUGUCGGUUCAUGUGUCUAUUUUUUUGGGUUGAUUUGCUCGAAGUCUUAAUGUUUUCCACAAGGCGUUGAGUUGGUUUUCUUCCUUUUCUUCUUGUUUCACUGUUGUUUCUUUUGGUUGACUACGAAGUUAUGAGUCAGUCAUGUAGUUCAGUAUCACCUUCUACAGGUGAUUUCGUUUUCUUUAUUCGAUAUAUGAAGGUUGUCUUCAUUCUCUUGUUACUUCAAAUAGGUUAAAUCGCAUGAGUUGAAUGCUUUACUGCCUCACCCUCUUUUCUUAAGGUUAGAUGUUGGAAUCUAUAUUAGUUAUUAGAUUUCUAAAUUUUACAAAGUUUUUCGUGUAUGUUUUGCCUUUAAUCAUGCUAAAAGUUGAAGAUUUCUUGUCUAUAUCCGAGUUGGUCUCGAAUGCCCCUUCCUUUUUUCCCCUUUCUUCGCAGUGGCUUGGUGUAUAUUGUCCCAUUAUCUGGCAUGCCUUGUUUUGAUUAAUACAGAGAGAUGAAACUCUAUAGCCUUCCCGAUCUUAGCUUAUCUUAGUUUGCAUUUUCCUUAGCGGGAUUGCCUACUUCCUCUAAUUUCCUCUGUUGAGCUUAUAAUUUUGAUGAUAAGCUAUGUUCAAUUGAUAAAAUAUAAUGAAAUUUGGACCUUUCCAGUUAAUUAUUUUUCUCCCUGCCAUUGAUCCUAACUGGUGAUGUCAAUUGUGUUUCUUUCUUUUGUAUGAUCUCAAGUUAUAUAAUGUGUAUGCUUCACAUGUUGUCACAAGAAUGUGUAUGCUUCACAUGUUGUUUGAUUGUCUGGUUUUGUUUUAAGGCAUUAGGAGUGGGUUUUGAUUGAGGAUAGUUACAUGUUCUUAUUCUUGCCCAUCAUUUGAAUCUUAAGGACAUUGUGAUUAUUUAGAAAAUGUUUCAUCUUCUCCUUUGUUAUUCCGCUAUAAGUUUCUAUGUCAUUCUAGUUUAGUUUCUGGAAUUAAGAGCUUUGCAAGGUGUAUCUUAAUAUGUAAUGUUAUACGGAUAGUUGGCUCUAUUACUUUGUUGGUUCAUUUUUGAAGUUGGGUAGUUUUUAAUAGUAUAGGUAUAAAUCUUUGAGUUUCAUCUUUGAUCAAGUUUAUUUAUUUAUUUGUGUCUUGAUAUCAAUUAAGGAUUGAGUUUUCUUUUCAAGUUGCUAAUUCAUUUUUUUUUGCGAGGUUGCCACCAAGAUGGUCCUUGCAUAUCCGUUGGGCCUUGAAGGCCCAAUUUUAUCUUUUCUUGAGUCAGCCCAUAUUGUUUUGUCGAAAAGAUGGUGAUGAACAGGUCCUCGGAGGCUUAAUACAGGGCUACAAGUUGAUUUCCGAGUAUACGGAAGUCCAAAAGUGGAAUGUACAUGAUUUUAUACACUGAUAUACAACUGGUGUAUACAGAAACGAAAUUGGGCUAAAACCCCAAAAGCAGCAAUGAACUUGGCCCAAGAAAGGCCCAAAUUUAAUUUAG